rnacentral:lncRNA from 1 species
AUUUUGGGGGACAUACCUUCACUAAAACGGUAAUUAAUCUCUCUUUGUAACUCCAAAUUUAGUGGGGUUUGAUUCUGUGGAAAUAUAACUCGAUUACGGUCAUUUCGAUAUCUGUUUGGUGAAUUAUUGAUUCAAAUUGAGUUGUGUGCGAAGCUUUGAAGUUGUGACUCGAAAGCAGAUUUUUGCAGAAUUUUGGGGGACAUACCUUCACUAAAACGGUAAUUAAUCUCUCUUUGUA